GACGAACGCUGGCGGCGUGCCUAAUACAUGCAAGUCGAGCGGACGAAUCGAAAGCUCGCUUUUGAUUCGUUAGCGGCGGACGGGUGAGUAACACGUGGGCAACCUGCCCUGUAGACGGGGAUAACACCGAGAAAUCGGUGCUAAUACCGGAUAACACGAAAUGUCGCAUGACGUUUCGUUGAAAGACGGCGCAAGCUGUCGCUACAGGAUGGGCCCGCGGCGCAUUAGCUAGUUGGUGAGGUAACGGCUCACCAAGGCGACGAUGCGUAGCCGACCUGAGAGGGUGAUCGGCCACACUGGGACUGAGACACGGCCCAGACUCCUACGGGAGGCAGCAGUAGGGAAUCUUCCGCAAUGGACGAAAGUCUGACGGAGCAACGCCGCGUGAGCGAAGAAGGCCUUCGGGUCGUAAAGCUCUGUUGUUAGGGAAGAACAAGUAACGCAGUAACUGGCGUUACCGUGACGGUACCUAACGAGAAAGCCACGGCUAACUACGUG
rnacentral:rRNA from 1 species